CGUGUAGGCGGACUCGCAAGUCGGUUGUGAAAUCCCUGGGCUUAACCUAGGAACUGCAUCCGAAACUGUUUGUCUUGAGUAAUGGAGAGGGUGGCGGAAUUCCCGGUGUAGAGGUGAAAUUCGUAGAUAUCGGGAGGAACAUCAGUGGCGAAGGCGGCCACCUGGACAUUUACUGACGCUGAGACGCGAAAGCGUGGGGAGCAAACAGGAUUAGAUACCCUGGUAGUCC
rnacentral:rRNA from 1 species